rnacentral:rRNA from 1 species
UACGGAGGGUGCAAGCGUUAUUCGGAUUCACUGGGUUUAAAGGGUGCGUAGGCGGACUGGUAAGUCCGUGGUGAAAUCCCCGAGCUUAACUUGGGAACUGCCAUGGAUACUAUUAGUCUUGAAUGUCGUGGAGGUUUGCGGAAUAUGUCAUGUAGCGGUGAAAUGCUUAGAUAUGACAGAGAACACCAAUUGCGAAGGCAGCAGGCUACACGAUUAUUGACGCUGAGGCACGAAAGAGUGGGGAUCAAACAGG